CGGGGAGGAUGCUGGGGACAUCAGAGGGCUGGUCUGGAGACGCCACAGCAAUUCCUCGUUGUUCCGACUCAGGCGCUUCUUCUCGGUGCUUUCCUUUUCGACAGACUCCUGCAGGUGGUCUGUCUCUGCUGUGUGACACUUCCUGAGCCCUUCCUCCACGGCAGCCAACUCUGCCUCCUGCUGCAGCUGGAGCUCCUGCAGCUCUCGCUCAAACACCACCUCCAGUGCUGUUUUGUCCCGUUGGAGUUUCUCCCAACGUGCUGAGUUGGAUGCUGAGCAGCAAGCUUUCCUGCUGUUCUUGCUGCAGCCUCAGGGGGGCCACACGGAGAGGCGACCCCAAGGGAGCAGAACCCCGCACAGCUGCUGCAGGCCGCUGACCGGGCUGGACUGGAGGGAGCAGACAAGCAAACAGAAAAAAAAGACAACUUGAGGUUGAUUCUUCUCUGGUGUUCUUCUGGAUGAACCCUGUGAUCUUAUGAUAAAUGUGGUUAAUAUCAAAUGAUGAUCUCCCUUCAUCAGAUAUAAUAUAGACAGUGCUAUGUAUAAUUUGGUCUAUGUUUAUGGAAAACAUUAGUAUAUGUAAAGGCUUCAUCCAUUAACAAUGAAGGUAAUUGAAAAGCCACAGAAAUAUCACUUGAAAGCCAUUUUCCCAUGAGGGAAACAACCAUUAUGUCAAAGCUGACAUACAGGUUAAGCCAUUAACCUCUCUGUGUUGACUUGUCAUGUGGUGAAAACAUAUUCUAAGUUACAGAUAGAUAGCAUAUUUUAAAGAUAUAAAAUUAUUUUAAAACUCUCCCUCUGCAUGUUUACACAGACUGCAGAACUACCCUGUGUGCCUGAACAUCAACAUCCUUGAAAUUAAAUUGCUGCAACCCUACAUCACCUGUCUCAACUGCAUCAUUCAAGCCUAUUGAAGCAUGGGGGAGUAGUUUCCAUGACAACACAAGGCAGGGCAUGGGGUGCAGGGUCCCAGGUAUAAUGAGUACAAAAUUGGUUGGAGGUAGGUGGGAUGCGGAAGGAUAAUGGGAGUGCUCUGAGAUAAAGAGAGAAAAGAGUUGAGAGAUAAUACUAAGUAAGGGGUAUAUGUGGGGAUUGUGGGGUGUUGGGUGACUGUAAUGGUGAUUGAUGAAAAAUGAAGAAUUUUUCUGUAAAACAAAAACAAAAAACUGCAUGUGUUUUCAAGCCUUAAGGCAAUAUUAGG